rnacentral:lncRNA from 1 species
ACAUGUGAUAUUUUACUUUUCCUCCUGGGAAGUCCUCGUGUUGCACCCCUUUUUAAAAAAAAAACCCUAGCGCCGCUCCCUUGCAGACAACCCUAGCGAAGUGAAGCUCGCUCGUUCGCCCAGGCGAACGAGCGAGCAAACCCAUGGAGAAGGAGACAUCUGACCGCGUGCGAAGGAAGAGAAGGGCAGCCUGACCGCGAGCGAAGUGAAGGACUGCCAGAGAGAGAAAUCGCGAGUGAAGGCCGCCGAGCGAAAUCGCGAUUGAAGGCCGGUCCCUUGAAGGCCGGUCAGCGAGCGAAAUCACGAGUGAAGGCCGGUCCCUGACCGCGAGCAAAGAAAUCCGCGAGUGAGCCCUGGCGGCGACCGAGAAAGAGAGACUGGAGGAGAGAGAGCGAGUGAGAGUGAGAAGUGGGGGAGCGAGCGAGGUCACCCCAGAUCAGCUGCACUCCACGCCCCUUGUCUCCAGAUCAGAUCCCCUCCUUUAACUCUUUUUUAACUGGAUCGAAUGACCUCGGCUCCACGCCUGAUUACAAGUGAGUGAACACCCAGUGACCGCGAGCGAGAACCCUCCGCGAGCAACAGUUCACCCACCUCCCGCAGGAUCACGUCCACUUCCGGAGAGCGACAAAUACAACUAUCAGAAGAUAGGAGGAAAUCUCGCUAUUGGUUUUUGACCUACAAGCCGAGGACUAGCACGCUACAUCUAUUCCAUACAUCUUAUCUAAUUUUAGUUGUUUACUUAAUUGGUUUUGUAAUCUCUUUAUUUUCUAUUUAAUCUAAAUCGCCUGAGAAAGAAAAAAAAAG